GCGUCUCCCGUCGUGCACCGGGGCACCGGCGACUCACCCGGAAGGAGAAGCCGUGAUCUGGCUAUAUGGUGGGGCGCGGGCGGUGUCGCUGUGGGGAGCUGGUGCUGUUCUCAGGUGAGAGGGCGUGGGCGGGGCCUGGGGAGUGGGUGCUGCUCUCCUGUGAGGGGGCGUGGGCUUGAGCGUCAGUAGUGGCACUCGGGAUGGUGGCAUC
rnacentral:lncRNA from 10 species